AGGAGGGCCACCAGCCCAGUGCCACUGCACAAGAUGGCAGCUACAGCUGACCUUCCAGAGUCAGGUCAGGUCAGCGCUGACCUUCCAGAGUCUCGUCAGGUCACUGCUGACCUGGCAGAGCCUCGUCACGUCUCAGCUGAUCAUCCAGAGCCUCGUCACGUCUCAGCUGAAUUUCCAGAGCCUCGUCUCAUCCUGUCUGUUGCACCCAGCAAUGUUGUCUCAGCCUGUUGUGUUGCUGUCAAGGUGACUUUUACUGCUGUGGAACCUCCAGAGGUGGUGGGAACUGCUGCAGAACCUUCAGAGAUGUCAGUAGUAUCCAUCCAUGAACUCUCGUCCUGUCACGUCUAUGGAGGCCAUCUAUGAACUCAUUGCCUGUCCUGUUAUGGCCACAGAAGCCGUUCAGGAACUCUUUGCUUGUCCUGUCUCUGCUACGGAGGCUAUCCACAAACUCACGGUCUGUCUUGUCACGGCCACGGAGGCCGUCCACCAACUCAAUGCCUGUCCUGUCACGGCCACGGAGGCCAUCAAUGAACUCACCGGCUGUCCUGUCAUGGCCACGGAGGCCGUCUAUGAACUCUCGUCCUGCCCUGUCACGGCUAAGGAGGCCAUCUAUGAACUCACUGCCUGCCCUGUCAGGGCCACAGAGGCCAUCCAUGGACUCACGGCCUGCCCUGUCAGGGCCAUGGAGGCCAUCUAUGAACUCUUGGCCUACCCGGUCACAUCCAUGGAGACUGGCUGUGAACUCUCUGCCGGUCUCUGUUUCAGUCCUACCUGACCAGACUUGCUCUCCUGUGCCGUUGACUCCACGGUGGUGGUCCUCUGCUCCGCCCCAGUGGGCUUCUGUCUCGUCUGAUUGGCUGUGGUGGUCCUCUGCUCCACCCUGGUGGGCUUCUGUUCCGCCUGCUCUGCCCCGGUGGGCUCUAGUUCCACCUGCUCCACCCUGGCUUCCUGCUCUGCCGGCACUGCCUCGGUCCGUGGUCAAUCCACUUCCACGUGGACCUGGCCCUCCAUCCCUCCUCCGCUCCACCUCCCACCUGAACUCUGGUCUAUUCUCAGUUGGGGGUGUCUGGAAGCCACUCCUUGGGGGAGGGGGGGGGGCUAUGUCACAAUCGUCAGCUGGAGUGCUCAUGAACUCCAGUAGAGGGCACUCCACUCUGGACUUUUGUAUUUGGUGUCCCGUUCUUAGGGCUAAUCACAGCCAGGUGUUCCCCAUUACCAUGCCCCUAUAUAAACUGUAUCUUGACUCUGUCUUUGUGAAGUCUUGUUUAGUUCUGUCUGGCAUUUCCGAGCGGUUUCCCUGUGUUUGUUCCUUCCGUGUUUGUUCUUGGAUUGUUUAUACCGACUGUGAUUCUCUGCCGCCUGCCCCGACCUCUGCCUGGUACUGAUACUAAUUCUGGAUAUUCCUUGACAUACUUGAUGCUGUGCUCUGAUUACUGCAUGUCUGACCAUUCUCUUAAUAAAAUACUGCAAAUGGAUCCGAACGCCUC
ensembl:lncRNA